UGGGAAUAUUGCACAAUGGGCGGAAGCCUGAUGCAGCAACGCCGCGUGCGGGAUGACGGCCUUCGGGUUGUAAACCGCUUUCGCCUGUGACGAAGCGUGAGUGACGGUAAUGGGUAAAGAAGCACCGGCUAACUACGUGCCAGCAGCCGCGGUGAUACGUAGGGUGCGAGCGUUGUCCGGAUUUAUUGGGCGUAAAGGGCUCGUAGGUGGUUGAUCGCGUCGGAAGUGUAAUCUUGGGGCUUAACCCUGAGCGUGCUUUCGACACGGGUUGACUUGAGGAAGGUAGGGGAGAAUGGAAUUCCUGGUGGAGCGGUGGAAUGCGCAGAUAUCAGGAGGAACACCAGUGGCGAAGGCGGUUCUCUGGGCCUUUCCUGACGCUGAGGAGCGAAAGCGUGGGGAGCGAACAGGCUUAGAUACCCUGGUAGUCCACGCUGUAAACGGUGGGUACUAGGUGUGGGGUCCAUUCCACGGGUUCCGUGCCGUAGCUAACGCUUUAAGUACCCCGCCUGGGGAGUACGGCCGCAAGGCUA
rnacentral:rRNA from 1 species